GUGUGGCCAAGAGGGCUGGAGCAAGCCAAGAUGCAAUCAGGCACAACACCCGGAACCCACCAGCCCUGAGCUUGAUUCGGGGAGGCUGCCUCUGUGCUGUCUCAGUCUGAUUCGCUCCUUUGAGAUCAAAACGUUCCAGCUGCAUGCAGUGUUCGGCAGCGGGUGUGCCGAUGGCGGGGAGCUCUGGAGGGUAUUUGAUUAAGAGAGGUUUUCCCACUCAUCCUGAGCUUCAUUCGCAGUGCUUUCUCCAAGCUUGCCUCCUGGGCUGCUCCCUCGUCUGUUUGCUCUCAUGUACUCUGUGUUUGGCCGUCUGCGUUUGGUUGUGCCUCUGUAUCCAAGGCCAUGGGAUGACGUGGUAGUUGAAACUCAGGUAGCAGGGGAAAGGGUGUGUCAGGGUAAUAAUAGCGGAAGCAUGACAACUUCCAGGUUUCUCAUCGGAGGGUCACCCACUCCAGGAAUAUGCUCUUUGGAGGUUUCUUUUCCAAGGCCACAGUGGGGCUUCAGUGCCUGCUGUUAGCCCUCACGAUCGCCUCUUUGGUCUCAGGCUGGGUGGGCAGAUGAAAGUUCCUAGUUGAUUUUAUUCUCUGGUGCUCCCCCUCCCCGCCCGCCCCAGAACUUGCUGCUCUGAAUAAACCAAAGCUGUGAAACGGUGUUCUGCCCCGGGCGGCAGGCCCAGCCUCCAGGAGCGGGGCGGGGUGUGCACGUGCCCUGGGGCCCUGGACUGUGAGGGAAAGACACGAAUCCAUUGUGUUGAGAGCUGGGGGAGGCGGGGGGGGGGGGGGGGAAGAGACUGAAGAGGAAGGAACAGGGUGGGAAAGACGAAUGGCUGAGGUGCCGGCUGCCUCUCCAUGAAGCAGAAGGGAGAGGUGAAAGUGGCACAGGCAGAGGCAGAGAUGGUCCCCAUCGACACGAGUGCCCAGAACCAUCCUGACCGUGUCCGUGCCUACUUCCACGCAAAGCAGAGGAAUCUGAUUUUCUACCUGACACUGUCCUUCAGUGCGCCGAGCGUCAGCCCUCAUUAAAUAUGCGUCUCUCCGGGUCAGAAGCGGGAGAGGCGGCAAAAGUCACCCCUGCCUUUGAGAACCUGUGCCACUUGGCCUGAGAUCGUGGAGGAAGAAGCCAAGAGCAGAAACGUCUUCCUGUCCCUGUGGCCUCCCGGGACCGCCCAGGGAUGCCAUGGACCAAGAUGGGAGGCUGUGGGACGGGGCCACUGGCCUUCCCAGGGUUGGGGGCCAGGCCUGCUCGAGAAACUGCUCCCUUGUGGAUCGUUACUCCCUUUGGACCCUUCGGCCGCCUUCCGUGCGCCGUGUGCGGGGAAAGGUGGCCGGCGGCUUGCGCUCCAGCCGCGGGAGCCCUAGCUGAGUCACGCGGCGUGCACCACAGAUCCGUAGCCGCCCAGCUGCCAUGUAAACCGCUUGGCUGACGGAGUCCUCAUUGAGUUGUCUCAUUACUGUGCAAAGUGGGAUAAUGUCACUCACCUUUACUAUAAACAAGGCUGUGAGAACAUAAUAAACACACCCUGAACACGC
rnacentral:lncRNA from 1 species